UAGGGAAUCUUCGGCAAUGGACGGAAGUCUGACCGAGCAACGCCGCGUGAGUGAAGAAGGUUUUCGGAUCGUAAAGCUCUGUUGUUAGAGAAGAACGUUGGUAGGAGUGGAAAAUCUACCAAGUGACGGUAACUAACCAGAAAGGGACGGCUAACUACGUGCCAGCAGCCGCGGUAAUACGUAGGGAGCAAGCGUUAUCCGGAUUUACUGGGUGUAAAGGGUGCGUAGGCGGCUUGGUAAGUCAGAUGUGAAAUGUAUGGGCUCAACCCAUGCACUGCAUUUGAAACUAUUGAGCUUGAGUGAAGUAGAGGUAGGCGGAAUUCCCUGUGUAGCGGUGAAAUGCGUAGAGAUAGGGAGGAACACCAGUGGCGAAGGCGGCCUACUGGGCUUUAACUGACGCUGAGGCACGAAAGCGUGGGUAGCAAACAGG
rnacentral:rRNA from 1 species